AUUGAACGCUGGCGGCAUGCCUUACACAUGCAAGUCGAACGGUAACGGGUCCUUCGGGAUGCCGACGAGUGGCGAACGGGUGAGUAAUAUAUCGGAACGUGCCCAGUAGUGGGGGAUAACUGCUCGAAAGAGCAGCUAAUACCGCAUACGACCUGAGGGUGAAAGGGGGGGAUCGCAAGACCUCUCGCUAUUGGAGCGGCCGAUAUCAGAUUAGCUAGUUGGUGGGGUAAAGGCCUACCAAGGCAACGAUCUGUAGUUGGUCUGAGAGGACGACCAGCCACACUGGGACUGAGACACGGCCCAGACUCCUACGGGAGGCAGCAGUGGGGAAUUUUGGACAAUGGGCGCAAGCCUGAUCCAGCAAUGCCGCGUGCAGGAAGAAGGCCUUCGGGUUGUAAACUGCUUUUGUCAGGGAAGAAAUCUUCUGGGCUAAUACCCCGGGAGGAUGACGGUACCUGAAGAAUAAGCACCGGCUAACUACGUGCCAGCAGCCGCGGUAAUACGUAGGGUGCGAGCGUUAAUCGGAAUUACUGGGCGUAAAGCGUGCGCAGGCGGCUUUGCAAGACAGAUGUGAAAUCCCCGGGCUCAACCUGGGAACUGCAUUUGUGACUGCAAGGCUAGAGUACGGCAGAGGGGGAUGGAAUUCCGCGUGUAGCAGUGAAAUGCGUAGAUAUGCGGAGGAACACCAAUGGCGAAGGCAAUCCCCUGGGCCUGUACUGACGCUCAUGCACGAAAGCGUGGGGAGCAAACAGGAUUAGAUACCCUGGUAGUCCACGCCCUAAACGAUGUCAACUGGUUGUUGGACGGCUUGCUGUUCAGUAACGAAGCUAACGCGUGAAGUUGACCGCCUGGGGAGUACGGCCGCAAGGUUGAAACGCAAAGGAAUUGACGGGGACCCGCACAAGCGGUGGAUGAUGUGGUUUAAUUCGAUGCAGCGCGAAAAACCUUACCUACCCUUGACAUGUCAAGAAUUCUGCAGAGAUGUGGAAGUGCUCGAAAGAGAACUUGAACACAGGUGCUGCAUGGCCGUCGUCAGCUCGUGUCGUGAGAUGUUGGGUUAAGUCCCGCAACGAGCGCAACCCUUGUCAUUAGUUGCUACGCAAGAGCACUCUAAUGAGACUGCCGGUGACAAACCGGAGGAAGGUGGGGAUGACGUCAGGUCCUCAUGGCCCUUAUGGGUAGGGCUACACACGUCAUACAAUGGCCGGUACAGAGGGCUGCCAACCCGCGAGGGGGAGCCAAUCCCAGAAAACCGGUCGUAGUCCGGAUCGUAGUCUGCAACUCGACUGCGUGAAGUCGGAAUCGCUAGUAAUCGCGGAUCAGCUUGCCGCGGUGAAUACGUUCCCGGGUCU
rnacentral:rRNA from 1 species